rnacentral:rRNA from 1 species
GACGAACGCUGGCGGCGUGCCUAAUACAUGCAAGUCGAACGGUUUAGUUCCACGAGGCUUGCCUUUUGGAACUAGACAGUGGCGGACGGGUGAGUAACACGUAGGCAACCUACCUGUCAAACCGGGAUAACCUCGGGAAACCGAAGCUAAACCCGGAUAAGCUCCUUUUUCGCAUGAAGGGGGAGUGAAAAGGUGCGACCUGAUGACAGAUGGGCCUGCGGCGCAUUAGCUAGUAGGUAGGGUAACGGCCUACCUAGGCGAUGAUGCGUAGCCGACCUGAGAGUGCGUACGGCCACACGGGGACUGGGAUACGGCCCAGACUCCUACGGGAGGCAGCAGUAGGGAAUCUUCGGCAAGGGGCGAAAGCCUGACCGAGCAACGCCGCGUGAGUGAGGAAGGCCUUCGGGUUGUAAAACUCUGUUGUUUGGGAAGAAGGGAAAGGGUAGGACCCUUUGGUGACGGUACCAAACGAGAAAGCCCCGGCUAACUACGUG